rnacentral:rRNA from 1 species
GACGAACGCUGGCGGCGUGCCUAAUACAUGCAAGUUGAGCGCUGAAGGUUGGUACUUGUACCAACUGGAUGAGCAGCGAACGGGUGAGUAACGCGUGGGGAAUCUGCCUUUGAGCGGGGGACAACAUUUGGAAACGAAUGCUAAUACCGCAUAAAAACUUUAAACACAAGUUUUAAGUUUGAAAGAUGCAAUUGCAUCACUCAAAGAUGAUCCCGCGUUGUAUUAGCUAGUUGGUGAGGUAAAGGCUCACCAAGGCGAUGAUACAUAGCCGACCUGAGAGGGUGAUCGGCCACAUUGGGACUGAGACACGGCCCAAACUCCUACGGGAGGCAGCAGUAGGGAAUCUUCGGCAAUGGACGAAAGUCUGACCGAGCAACGCCGCGUGAGUGAAGAAGGUUUUCGGAUCGUAAAAACUCUGUUGGUAGAGAAAG